ACAAUAAGAGGUCAAGUUGCCAAUAAAUUAUUACUGUUAAUGUUCUGGGAGAUGCUGAAACUAUGCAAAGUGGGGAAGAGGGGAGGCAGAUAUUGCAGUUUUAUAGUGAAGAUUGGGCUUUGGAGUCAUACCUGAGAUGUAAGUAGCAGGUUUUAAAUUCUAGCUAUGACUCUGUGCAGAUCACUUAACUUCUGAGUGUCAGGAUGUUUGGAAGGACAAGAUAAUAAAUUACACCUUAGUAACAUAUUAAUUUUCUUCGGUGUUCCGGCAAUUAGUGUUUAGAAAGCUGUUGUCAUGAGAUGGCUUUGGGUUGUGAUGAUAAUUGUUGGGAUUGAAAAAAUUGUAUCAUGAAGAGGUCAUAAUACUUAUUACAAUAGUAUUAAAAGUGGUUUUGCUUUCAGUUAGGGAGAAAAAUUAGAUUGUACUAUUUUGCUUCUGUGAUUUCCUUCAGUUAUCUUCCAAAUGUUAUUCUCUAUGCAUAGCCCCCUUAACAUUGUUUUCUAAGUACUUCUCAAUACAUUUUCAUGUUUCUCAAGCCUCUUUGUGAAUGACUCCUAAAUUUAACUUCUUCCAUUAGCUCUAGAUCCAUAUUUCCAAUAAAAUCUCCUACCUGAAUAUUGAAACUGAACAUGCCCAGAAUACUUACUGAUUUUAUUUUAUUUAUUUUUGUUAUUUCUUUUCCAGAUGAAUCCUGAGUAUGAUUUUAUUAUUAAUAGCCUGGAUAUUCUGUUGUUUGGAAUUAAAACUUGUAUAACUAAUUUGCGUCCCUUUAUCUUCUUAGUUAAUAAAACCUACAAUUCUGUCUCUGAAAUGAUCAUAGUAUACAACCUC